CUCCGCCCGUGUCUCCAGAGCACCGAAUGGCGAACCGUUGAGGAAUUCAAAUCUGAGGAGCUGAAACGGUGUCAUUAAAACGUCGCCUGUGUUCCUCGUUGCUUGAGAGCAAAACAUUCAGAAGAGAAGAGGUGCCAUGGGACCGAAUCAACAGGGGAUGUUUGACAUGGACAAUACAGGAGCCAAAUCCCCGGAGACCCUUUACCCCCUUAAAAGUAAAAGUUCAGAGCAGAAAAUGGGUACCUUGACCCUGCAAAAGGUUAACAAACUUCUGCUUAAUGAAUGGGAGGAAUGAAAUUUCAGACAAAGGAGUCUCCAGCAGAGCUUCCAGCUAACCAAAGCAUACCAGCUGCGUUCAAGUAUGGACAGGGAGGGUGACAUUUUUGUCCAUAUGCCCAUAAUUAAUGCUUUCUGCGCUCACUAUUGUCUUGAAAUUAAAAUGAAAAAAUUUUGGCCA